rnacentral:rRNA from 1 species
GACAUAGGUGGCAAACGUUAUCCGGAAUUAUUGGGCGUAAAGGGUGCGUAGGUGGUUUAAUAAGUUAUUGGUGGGAAAACGGGGCCCAACUCCGUGGAAGCUAGUAAUACUAUUAGACUAGAGGACCGGAGAGGUUAACGGAAUGGCUCGUGUAGGGGUAAAAUCCGUAAAUACGAGUUGGAACACCAAAAGGCGAAGGCAGUUAACUAUUCUGUUACUGACAUUGAGGCACGAAAGCGUGGGGAGCAAAACGG